rnacentral:misc_RNA from 1 species
GAAAUGCGAUAAGUAAUGCGAAUUGCAGAAUUCAGUGAAUCAUCGAAUCUUUGAACGCACAUUGCGCCCGCUAGUAUUCUGGCGGGCAUGCCUGUCUGAGCGUCAUUUCAACCCUCAUUCCCGGCUUCGUGUCGGGGAUGGUGUUGGGGAUCGGCCUCCCGGUUGCGGGCGGUCGGCCCCGAAAUAGAGUGGCGACCACGCCGUAGCCUCCUCUGCGUAGUAGUGAAAACCUCGCAGGCGGAGAGCGGUGCGGCCUGCCGUAAAACCCCCAACUCUUCUAAGGUUGACCUCAGAUCAGGUAGGAAUACCCGCUGAACUUAAGC